rnacentral:rRNA from 1 species
GACGAACGCUGGCGGCGUGCCUAAUACAUGCAAGUAGAACGCUGAAGCUUGGUGCUUGCACCGAGCGGAUGAGUUGCGAACGGGUGAGUAACGCGUAGGUAACCUGCCUGGUAGCGGGGGAUAACUAUUGGAAACGAUAGCUAAUACCGCAUAAAAUGGAUUAUCGCAUGAUAAUCCAUUGAAAGGUGCAAAUGCAUCACUACCAGAUGGACCUGCGUUGUAUUAGCUAGUUGGUGGGGUAACGGCUCACCAAGGCGACGAUACAUAGCCGACCUGAGAGGGUGAUCGGCCACACUGGGACUGAGACACGGCCCAGACUCCUACGGGAGGCAGCAGUAGGGAAUCUUCGGCAAUGGACGGAAGUCUGACCGAGCAACGCCGCGUGAGUGAAGAAGGUUUUCGGAUCGUAAAGCUCUGUUGUAAGAGAAGAACGAGUGGAGAGGGAAAGUUCACACUG